GCCCUGAAACUGGUAGUUUUUCCCCAAAAUCCAGAACCUCUGGAAUUUUUGAUGGGAUUGGUGAAUUGGAAUUUGAUAGUAGGCAUCAUUUAGGUCUAUUGGAGUUAACCAGCCCCCAAAAAGGCAAAAUAAAAAUCCAUAAUAACCGUCGCACUUUAAAAAACAAACAAACAAAAAAAUUAUCCAUCUUCACCCUUGGAGGGCUCCGCACAGACUGAGCUCUGCAGGGUGGGGCAAGGCUUUAUAAACUCUGCAGUUAGGCUC